AUGGCAAUAAAAUUUCAUGCAGCAUCACUCCAUGGUAGGCGCAAAGGCAGCCCCCCUCCACCCAUUUCGGAUUGUAAUCAAGAGGAAGAUAACUGUUCUGAGGGGGAUUCAGAAGGAGAAGACCACUCCUAUUUACCGCCUGAGGCAUUUGACACGGUGAUGGAAAAUUCUGGAGUGAAGACAAGGUCUUCAAAGCAGACUAUGCUAUCUGACGAAGCGCAUAUCUCGCUAGUUACAGAUAGCUCCUCAGAGGAGGAUUCAGAGAUAAACGACCAGUCCUAUCCCCGCCCCCCGAGCCAUUUGAAGCAGUGA
rnacentral:rRNA from 1 species